GACGAACGCUGGCGGCGUGCCUAAUACAUGCAAGUCGAGCGGACCACUUCGGUGGUCAGCGGCGGACGGGUGAGUAACACGUGGGCAACCUGCCUGUAAGACUGGGAUAACACCGGGAAACCGGUGCUAAUACCGGAUAAUCCUUUCCUUCAAAUGAGGGAAAGCUGAAAGACGGUUUCGGCUGUCACUUACAGAUGGGCCCGCGGCGCAUUAGCUAGUUGGUGAGGUAACGGCUCACCAAGGCAACGAUGCGUAGCCGACCUGAGAGGGUGAUCGGCCACACUGGGACUGAGGCACGGCCCAGACUCCUACGGGAGGCAGCAGUAGGGAAUCUUCCGCAAUGGACGAAAGUCUGACGGAGCAACGCCGCGUGAGCGAUGAAGGCCUUCGGGUCGUAAAGCUCUGUUGUCAGGGAAGAACAAGUACCGGAGUAACUGCCGGUACCUUGACGGUACCUGACCAGAAAGCCACGGCUAACUACGUGCCAGCAGCCGCCGCCGUAA
rnacentral:rRNA from 1 species